GUAUAAAAUUGCAAUUAUAAAAAGCAAAGUUAAAAUUUUCAAAGAAUAAAGAUAGCUAUAUUAUGAAAAAGAAAAGUUUUCCUUUCCUUUAAGUUUCUGUCCCUUAAAGAACUCAUUAUUAAUGGUUCCUUAUUAAUCUUUUUAGGGAAAAAUUGGGCAUAUAUCACUGUGUGUGUUUGGGUGCAUUCAUGUAUUAAUCAUGUAUGUUUGUGCAUGUGUAUGUAUAAUAGACAUAUAUUAUUCUGUUCUGAUUACAUCACUCAAACAAACUACUCAAAAACUUAGUGGCUUAAAACAAACAAUACUUUUACUUUAUCUUACGAUUUUGUGAAUGAAGAAUUUGAGCAGGGCUCAGCUAGGCAAUUCUUCUGUCCCUUGUGACAUUGAAUCUAGGACAUAUUCGGCUGGCAGCUGGUCUGGUCUGCCAUGCCCUUUUAUGUGGCAGGAAUCUGAGGGAGGAAGACAGAAUCCAGAAUUGGGAGAGGAUUGCUGUAUGUUCUUUAUCAGUUAACAGUCACAGUGUAGCUCAAAUUCAAGGUGAUGGUAAUAAGACCUCACUUCUUGGUGGUCAGUGUCUAAGUGGCUAUGUGAACUUUUUUACCUGAGUAUUAUGUAUUUUGUGAACAUAUUUAAACAUACAUGUAGGUAGUAUGCAUGUUGAUUGAUGCAUUAUCUACAAUCUGCAAGAAAUGCAUACAAAAAGAUCAGACAUUCAAUAUUCUUAAAUCCAAAGAGUAUGUAUGUAUAGUGUAGAAUAAACUAUCAGAAGCAAAGUUCCUCUCUUAAAUGUGUAAGAUAUCAUAGAACUAUAACUUCAUAUUUUAGAUGGCAAGCUUCAACUACUCUUCAUGAUAUUAAGUGAAUGCAGAUUUUAGAACCUGAGAUUGGAGUCUGCCUAAAUGCAGCAGUAUUUUCUGACUACAAUUAUAGAAGACAUCAAUUAAACUAUUUAUCUUAUUUUUUAGAUAUAUUGAUCUUAAUCCAAAGCAAACAACACAACAAAAAUAAAGUCUCAUUAUUGAUUUUACAGAUUAUUUCCUAUUCCAUCUGCUCCUCACUUAGUUGGCAUGUUGUUACACACUAUUCCUACAAUUGGCUCCUGGGAAGCCGUGAAUAAAUCACAAACAGUAAAUCCCAAGUUGGUAUUUACUGGUUUUGGCAGUAAGCUGGCAUCUCUUAACCAGCUCUGAGGGAAUUAUCUGAGGUGAGAAUAUAAGAGAAUACAUUCUGUAUAUAAGGGAAUUGAGUUUUUCAAAACUCUGUGCUGUCAGUCUCAUCUUAGGCUUAGGAACUGCCCUCCUCCUCACUCAGAGCAUUCUAUGGGAUAACCAAGCUAUGGGGACCAGUAGGACUCCCUGAUGGUAGUUUAGGGAAUGGUCUCUUCUUUAUUGUGCCCUUUUCUUCCCUGUGGCCAUCUCUUUUAUUUUUUCAGGGAGGGGUUGUGUAUGCUGGAAACUUCCCUACUUGCCUGUGACCUCAGUGGCUCACUUCUUUAAUCCCAUACAGGCAACACUGUGCAUACAGUUUUGUCCAUCCUCUUCCACACUCACCCCUUUUCACUGCCUUAGUUCCAUCUGUUCAUAAACGUGACAGAAAUACAGAGAGCUUUCAAUAUUUGUAUUAGAGAAAAUCAAAUGCAUACACUUUCAAGGAAAAUUAUAUAUAUUCAAAGAAUUCAUUCUUUUUAAACUCUAAAGAGCUGUGUAGAAAUAUGGCACUCUUGAGCUGUAUUUCACACACCUCCUGAUUUAAUCAGAUGAACCCACUGCUGUCAUGAUUUAAUCAGAAAAAUGUGUGUUACUGCCAAUACACUUGAAAAGUGAUGAGGUCACCCUCAUUCAUCCAUUCAUCAGUAAAUACUGAGUGCCUCUUAUAUGCUGGGCACUGUUUUUAGGAACUUGGGGCUAUCGCAGUGAAGAAUACAGACAUAGUUCUCAAAAAGUUAUAUUCUAUUGUUUAUGUGCAUGGAGUUGGUUAGUUGAGGGGGGCAUUAAGAUUCUUUCUUGUUCUUUAUCCAGGACAUUUAGGUUCCAAUCACUGUGGCAAACCAGCAUGUAGAAGGCCUCAAAUGUCAUCAUUUGGUUUGAUUGUGGCCUGGGAUGCCAACUGAAGUACAACCCACAAGCUUCUGUGUUAUCUUUUGCUUCCAAAAACUUUUGAGAUUUUAUAUUUUUGUCAACAAGAUACACAUCUGUUGUGUUUCUGCACAUCUUACGAGUGAGACAUUUCCUGCCCUUUGUUUCAGACUGUCUUUUCGAGGAUAUUUAUAUACGGAAGAGUCUUAGUAGAUAGAGUAGUGUCUCCCUCAGGAGUAAAGGGCAGGCAUGCUUCCUGUCCAGUAUAAUAAAGAUGAUGUCUCCCUCUGGAAUAAAGGGAAGGCAUGCCUAGUGCUCAUUAUGAAAGAUCCAAGUUCCCUAAGCUCAGGGUUCCUCCCUUGUAAUGCAACCCUCUGCGUGCACAGGUAUCUUCUUGCUUUCUUCACAUCACCCUGUGGGAAUUGGGCUUCAUGGAACUACUGCAAAAAUGCCAAUACUCUAGCUACUGCUGUUGCUGUGAGUUAUAAACUGCCCUUCAUCUAUGACCCAGGAGUUUUGGGUCUUCUGCCCUCAUCCAUGAAACUUGGCAGGAUAACUUGUCAGCUUGCAAAUAGGAAAAAUCUCAGACCCUUCACAGCUCUUGAAGGUAACUUUGUCAAGGAAUCAUAUUGAAAUGAGUGCUAUUCCAAAGGUGUUACUGGUAAAUGAUGACUCACUACCCCAGAGCUUAAAAGAGAAUAAGGCAGGGAGCGGAGGGGGUGAUGUUGUCCACACUCCAGUUCUUGAGAAACAUGGUCAUAUACCCCACAUUCAGAGGGGAGAGCAGAGUCAGACCUGUGAGAACAAAGGUGAAAUGCUGAUAUAGUUCCUUCAGCACUAAUCUCUGUUGGAUUGACUAUUUUCCUGUACAUUUUUUUAAAUACGAAAUUUAUUGUCAAAUUGGUUUCCAUACAACACCCAGUGCUCAUCCCAACAGGUACCCUCCUCAAUGCCCAUCACCCACCCUCCCCUCCCUCCCACCCUGUAUGUGUUAAUAAAAUAUAUUCUCUAAUUUGAUGUCUUCUUAAACACAAAUUAUUAAACAGGAUUCCAGCCUUCUGCAGGAUUCAAGGCCCUCACUGCAAACAGAAUUUACCGUGGUAAACUAAAGCUAUGUUCUUGCUGCUUUGCAGAUGCCUUGAGCUGACAACUGACGGAGCUGUCUCCUUCCUAGGUGUUGAAGGCCACUUCCCCAGAGUACGGCCUUGUUCUCUUGCUACUUCUGAUCUGCAGACCCACGUUUUUAGGCAAUGUGACAAAAUUGAAAAAAAUCAAAAGCUUGGAGAGAACAAGAUUUGCUGUCUGGACCUCAACUCAUAAGCAGGCCUGCCCAGCUCGCAGCUUUGCUCUUGAAGGCAUAUAGUGGAAACUUGAAGACCUCCAGAGACCAGAUUGCCAUCUCUGAUUCAUGCAUCGCCCCACUUGGGGCAGUGGAACAGCAGUGACUGCAGAAUAGUGGGCCUCAGAAGCAGUGAUAAGGUAUUUAACUGGUUUUCACAAGCAGUGGGGAGGCUUAGCCAUAGACCAUACCAGGACACCCUACAAAAUAAAGUGAGGACACACACUAGAUUUGUUUAUGAGAUACUUCUGGAACCUUCCAGAAAUAACUAUAGACUAUUUCAGGGAGCUCAGUGACAAAGACAAAAACAAAGCAAUGACAACAACAACAAAAAACAGGCAGAGGGAAAGCUAUAAAUCAGGAUUUAUUAUGUUAAUAUGGUCCCAUUUUUCACAGCAUCUUAGGGCAUCCAAAGGAAAUUUAGAUUACAUUCAGGAGGGAGGCUCAAACAGAUGGCAGGAGAAAAGAAACAUCUUUCCUUUCAGCAGAGUCAUGCUAGUUGGUGAAUCAAGGGCCACCCCUGAUAAUCUGCACCUCUGAUUAUGAUUUAAUUUUAAUUUAAUGUCAAUUAACUUGACAAUUUAACUCUUACCUCUCUGCCCAGGUGCUUGAUUUAGUGAUUUAUAUUGGUCUAACAGGUUUAAUUAUAUUUUUUUGGCAGUGAUUUUUCCCCCCAAACUGAGGUCUUGUACCUAUAGUUCUGUGCUUAGGGGAUUUUAAGGAAUUUGAACAUCCUGGGGAAUACUGCUGUGGCUUUCCCAGAUGCCUCCUUCAAGACUAGUAUUCGUUUCACCAGUUUCCUGGUUGCCAUCUAACAGCUCACAGUUUAAUUGCCCUCUGGAAAGGAUCUGCCUCACCCAAGGUUAUGUUUCCUCCCUAGAAACAGCCCAUAUUCAAGACUGGUCAUUGCGGAGGUACAAAAGCCUGCCUGCCUUGUCCCUGUGGGGAGAUCUGUGAAGGGCCAUCCCAGCUGCAGAGCACCCCUUGGUGCUGGUUGAGGUCUCUGUCAUGACUUGAUCUUGGUUCCCCUCUCCCUCUACCCUGUCCUUAUUCCCUCCCAGGAGUUGUUCCUGAUAGCAGGCAUUUCCUGCAUGUGGAUCUCCAUCUGUGGAGUCUAUUUCCCAGAGAAUUUGAACUAAAACACUUGAUGUGAGAAUUGGCCUAAGGAGGCGGAUUCUAAAGUGAGACUUGGGAGCUGGAUCACUUAUUGGCUGGCUGUCAGUGAGAACCCAUGGCCUGACAUAGGUGGAGUCCUGGGAGCAAUGGCAUGGGGUAGUUUUACAGCUAUUAAAGCUUUGGAGCACCUGGGUGGCUCAGUAGGGGCGUCAGACUCUGGAUUUAGGCUCAGGUCAUGAUCUCAUGGUUCCUGAGUUUGAGCUCUACAUUGGGCUCUGCGCUAUUAGCAUCGAGUUUCUUUUCUGCUCUCUCUGCCCCUUCCCUACUCGCACAUGUGAGCGUGCAUUUGCGCAUGCAUGCACACUAUCUCUCACCCGCUCUCUCUCUUUCAAAAAUAAGUAAGUAAACUUAAAAAACCCUAACAAACACUAAAGCUUUCACUGGUGAUGAACUGAGAUGGGAUGUGGAUAUAAAGAAAUGCACUGUUGGGCUUGAUAUCCUUAGGCAUUUGAGAGGUUCAAAGGAAAUGGUAAUUAGAAAGACAAUGAAAUUGGAUGGCUGUGGCUAAGUACCCAGUGUACAGCUUGGAAAAAUAAUAAAAAUGGAGGUGAUUAAUCACUAAUUUAAGGCAAAGUUUGAAAAGUUAGAGCGUCUACAGGCAGCAUUUAAAAGGCUCUCCUAAGGGACACCUGGUUGGCUCAGUUGGUUAAGGGACCUACUCUUGAUUUCGGCUCAGGUCAUGACCUCACGAUUUGUGAGU